rnacentral:rRNA from 1 species
AUUGAACGCUGGCGGCAUGCCUUACACAUGCAAGUCGAACGGUAACAGGUCUUCGGAUGCUGACGAGUGGCGAACGGGUGAGUAAUACAUCGGAACGUGCCUAGUAGUGGGGGAUAACUACUCGAAAGAGUGGCUAAUACCGCAUGAGAUCUACGGAUGAAAGCAGGGGAUCGCAAGACCUUGUGCUACUAGAGCGGCCGAUGGCAGAUUAGGUAGUUGGUGGGAUAAAAGCUUACCAAGCCGACGAUCUGUAGCUGGUCUGAGAGGACGAUCAGCCACACUGGGAGUGAGACACGGCCCAGACUCCUACGGGAGGCAGCAGGGGGGAAUUUUGGACAAUGGGCGAAAGCCUGAUGCAGCAAUGCCGCGUGCAGGAUGAAGGCCUUCGGGUUGUAAACUGCUGUUGUACGGAACGAAAAGCCCCGGGUUAAUACCCUGGGGUCAUGACGGUACCGUAAGAAUAAGCACCGGCUAACUACGUGCCAGCCGCCGCGGUAA